rnacentral:rRNA from 1 species
AGUGAACGCUGGCGGUAGGCCUAACACAUGCAAGUCGAACGGCAGCACAGUAAGAGCUUGCUCUUACGGGUGGCGAGUGGCGGACGGGUGCGGAAUACAUCGGAAUCUACUUUUUCGUGGGGGAUAACGUAGGGAAACUUACGCUAAUACCGCAUACGACCUACGGGUGAAAGCAGGGGAUCUUCGGACCUUGCGCGAUUGUAUGAGCCGAUGUCGGAUUAGCUAGUUGGCGGGGUAAAGGCCCACCAAGGCGACGAUCCGUAGCUGGUCUGAGAGGAUGAUCAGCCACACUGGAACUGAGACACGGUCCAGACUCCUACGGGAGGCAGCAGUGGGGAAUAUUGGACAAUGGGCGCAAGCCUGAUCCAGCCAUACCGCGUGGGUGAAGAAGGCCUUCGGGUUGUAAAGCCCUUUAGGUGGGAAAGAAGAGCAGCAGGUUAAUACCCCGCUGUUCUGACGGUACCCAAAGAAUAAGCACCGGCUAACUUCGUG